UGCCACGUUUGCCACUUAAGGCCAAAAUUG
rnacentral:piRNA from 1 species